UGAGCAAUCUGCCCUUCUCUUCGGAAUAAGCGUUGGAAACGACGUCUAAUGCCGAAUACGACCUCCUUUCGCAUGAUCGGAGGUGGAAAGCUCCGGCGGAGAAGGAUGAGCUCGCGGCCUAUCAGCUAGUUGGUGGGGUAAUGGCUCACCAAGGCGACGACGGGUAGCUGGUCUGAGAGGAUGGCCAGCCGCAUUGGGACUGAGACACGGCCCAGACCUCGUACGGGAGG
rnacentral:rRNA from 1 species